CUACGUAGGGCGCAAGCGUUGUCCGGAAUUAUUGGGCGUAAAGAGCUCGUAGGCGGCUUGUCGCGUCGACUGUGAAAUCCCGCGGCUCAACUGCGGGUCUGCAGUCGAUACGGGCAGGCUAGAGUUCGGUAGGGGAGACUGGAAUUCCUGGUGUAGCGGUGAAAUGCGCAGAUAUCAGGAGGAACACCGAUGGCGAAGGCAGGUCUCUGGGCCGAUACUGACGCUGAGGAGCGAAAGCGUGGGGAGCGAACAGG
rnacentral:rRNA from 1 species